UACCUUCAUCGAGGAGUCAUUCUUACCAAGGAUAACUUUAUUAAGAGGAAUUAGCAUGGAAGUACAGAAUGUGUUUUUUGUCAUCAAGAUGAAAUAAUAAAACUCUUGUUUUGCCAAUGCAAAUUUGCUCGUUCUAUAUGGCCAGUCAUCCAAGUAGCUUCUGACCUGUAUCCUUCAUGUGGUGUUGCUAAUAUAUUUGGCAUACGUGGGAUUGAUCACAGGUUUAGAAUUCUUCUCAGGAUGGGAGCACUUGCCAUUAUUUGGUCCUUUUGCCUAUGUAGAAAUUAUAAGAUUUUUAACGAUAAAAGUACUUCUCCUAUGCAGGUUAUUUACAGAUGUACAGGUACACUUCGUUUAUGGUCGUCUUUACAAUGUGUGGUGAAUCGUGACCUGUUUACGGAGGUUUCUACACGAGAAGGUAUUUUUCCUAACAUGGAUAGCAACAUGAUCCUAGGAUUGGCCUUCCCAAGGGUUAGGCGUCAUACAGUCUUCAUGAUUACUUGUAUUUUGCCUUUUAUUUUUUGA
rnacentral:rRNA from 1 species